AGCUAGUAAUCAGCUCCAAGAUCCCACCUGGGUGUCUGUACUCAUCAGCCAAUCCUGGCAUAUAUUGUCACAGGCUGGGAUCAUUGAAUGUAGACCCUGAGAAGGAGCUUGGGCCCUGGCGAUAUCACAUCUGAGGAACCGUAAGCCUAAAGACCAGAAUAUACAUUGAGAAAAAUAUACUGCCAUCGACAUCAUGAGCCCUGUGUGUCAAUCAGUAAUGUUUUUUCUAUGGACUCCUUGACCUCAUCCUAUGUAUGAUUCAACACUCAACAAUUCCUGGCUGAUCUGGAACCAGAGGGAUGGCAGUCCUCUCCGUGGACUGGGAUACACAGUCAGCAUGCCCAAGGGUCUGGAGGUAGAGUCGGGCAUACUCAAUAUGCCAGGAGCAGAGAAGCACAGUCAGCACAGGAUCCACUGUGCCUGAUUAUCCCCUGGUUUACUCAUGGAGAGACGCUGCUUGUUUGUUCUGUUGAAAGCCAGAAUAAUUUUCUUAAGCAAUUUUGUUCCAUCUUCCAUUGCCAGGCAAAGUCAUACUUAAGACAUUCUAAAAGAAAGUCCGGUGAAAUCCCACUCAAUCUGAGAAGUGUAUUUCAAUAGCUGUGAUUGUAUUGC